UACGGAGGGUGCAAGCAUUAAUCGGAAUUAUUGGGCGUAAAGGGCGCGUAGGCGGAUGUAUAAGUCAGAUGUGAAAUUCCGGAACUCAAUUCCGGAGCUGCAUUUGAAACUGUAGAUCUAGAGGGAUGGCGGAGAAAACGGAAUUCCACGUGUAGCGGUGAAAUGCGUAGAUAUGUGGAAGAACACCUGUGGCGAAAGCGGUUUUCUAGCUAUAACCUGACGCUGAGGCGCGAGAGCAAGGGGAGCAAACAGG
rnacentral:rRNA from 2 species